rnacentral:rRNA from 1 species
UCGGGAAUUUUGCCCAAUGGACGAAAGUCUGAGGCAGCAACUCCGCGUGAGGGACGAAGGCUCUCGGGUCGUAAACCUCUUUUCUCAGGGAAGAUCCAAGACGGUACCUGAGGAAUAAGCCACGGCUAACUACGUGCCAGCGGCCGCGGUAAUACGUAGGUGGCAAGCGUUGUCCGGAUUUACUGGGCGUAAAGAGCGCGCAGGCGGCUGGUCAAGUCCGAUGUGAAAUCUCCCGGCUCAACUGGGAAACUGCAUCGGAAACUGAUCGGCUUGAAGGUGGGAGAGGGUAGUGGAAUUCCCGGUGUAGUGGUGAAAUGCGUAGAUAUCGGGAGGAACACCAGUGGCGAAGGCGACUACCUGGCCCACUCUUGACGCUGAGGCGCGAAAGCUAGGGGAGCGAACGGGAUUAGAUACCCCGGUAGUCCUAGCCGUAAACGAUGAACACUAGGCGUAGUCGGUAUCGACCCCGGCUGUGCCGUAGCCAACGCAUUAAGUGUUCCGCCUGGGGAGUACGGCCGACG